AUGGAUCUGGGCGAAAAGCUGCGGGAGGGAGAGUUGUCGGCUGGAGGGCAGAUAGCAAACGGUGGAGUUGGAGGGAGUACGACGGAGAGGGGAUCCGCGACAGAGGCCGAUCGGGAGGACGAUGGGGGGGAGGAUUGGGAUCACCUUGGUCCCAACCCAACCCUAGUAGAUGCGUUCGAGGGCAUGAACCUUCACGGUGAAGAGGAGGAGGACUUGGACCUAUCCGGGGAGGUUGAGGAGUUAAUCAAAGAGGUUCGUUGGCUGGCGUUAUUUAGGGUUCAUACCAUGAGGCCCUUUAGCCAUGCUGCUUUACUAAACGCCAUGAGGAAUGCCUGGGUUUGUGCACAAGGGGUAACCUUCAAUAUCAAGGGGCCGAAUCUGUUCCUGGCGCAAUUUCAUUGUCUAGGUGACUGGAAGAGGGUGAUGGAAGGGGGGCCGUGGCAGUUCAGAAGGGACCCCGUAGUAAUGGUGGAGUAUGAUGGAUUCACAAAUGUAGCUGAAUAUUCGCUUGAUAUGUAUCCUCUGUGGGCCAGAAUAGAAGGGCUUCCAGAUGGUUUGACGAGGAAGAGGGAGCUUGCGGAGAAGGUGGCGAAGAAGACCCACCAUUUACAUUAG
rnacentral:rRNA from 1 species